UACGUAGGGUCCAAGCGUUAUCCGGAAUCACUGGGCGUAAAGCGUGCGUAGGUGGCGCGUUAAGUGAGAUGUGAAAGCAUGGGGCUCAACCCCAUUGUUGUAUCUCAUACUAGCGUGCUAGAGGACAGCAGAGGCAAGUGGAAUUUGUAGUGUAGCAGUGAAAUGCGUAGAGAUUACAAGGAACACCAAUGGCGAAGGCAGCUUGCUGGGCUACUCCUGACACUGAGGUACGAAAGCGUGGGGAGCGAACAGG
rnacentral:rRNA from 1 species